CGGCUAUAUCACUUUAAACACUGUUGGAACACCGAAGUUAAGCAAAGUUGAGCCUGGUCUGUACCUAGAUGGGUGACCGUCCGGGAAUAUCCGGCGCUGUAAGC